CACCUCACCACCACCCCAUGGCCACUCCCGGCCUCGUCUAAGGGACACGGACGUCUCUCCCACCCCGCCCCACCUCUCUCGAUGUUGGCGAUGGCCCGCCGCAGGUGCUCCUCGGUCACCAGCUCGCCGAUGACCACCAGCAGGCAAGUCAAUGUCCCAGAUGUGGGAUGGGAAUUCAUCAUGUGGGGAAAAAAAUAGAGGGAGAAUAUUGAUUCUAGCAUGAUUCCCCUUCUGCCUCAGCACAGCAAAACCCAGGGGACUGUACCAAGGGUAAAACAAAAUGAGCACUGGCCAAAGGAAUUGCCUCAUCCCCUCAGACUUACCAAAUGACUUCUUUCAGCAGUGAUUGUCUGCCUUCCCCAUGAAGAGGAGCAUCAGCCACAGGCAGCACCUCUGCAAUCCCCUGGCUGCCAGGAUCCCUGCAACAUCUCUCAUUUUCUCCUCUGGGGACUUUGAAAGGUGACUGCUGAUUGCACCCUUUAACAACCUCCAGUAUUUUGAGACUGAUCAAACAGCUCCCUGUGAUUUUAAUCCAAUUCCAGCCUUUAUCAGAUGUGCAGACUGUCCUGUGGUGCAGAUUAACAAACAGAAUUUAAACUAUUGACAACAGACUACAUUUUCUGAUUUGCUUUCCACAGUCCCUAAGAAAGCUCCUGCAGAUUCCAAUGGGCCUGCAGACCACAGAGAGAAACUCUGCUGCAAUCAACAGGACUGUUUGUCCAAAGUAGGAUCACAGCAUCACAUUGUGGGAUUGCUAUACAGCAUGGUGCUCUUCAGAUUCUUUUCAAGCAAUGCCAAUGAGCGCACGCUCAAAGUCCGAAUGCUAAUGGGAUACCCUUGUGAGUAAGCAUUUUCUGGACUGAACUUACUGUGAUAUAUCUGAACUCCUCUCAUUUGGGGAGAUGGUUCUUGGGGUUGCUUACAGACCCCUGCCUCCCUCUACUUCUCCACCAUGGCACUGAUAGCUUGGCCUGUCCACCCACUACUGCACUAAAAAUGACCGCACAAGCACUGAUCAGAUGGAUCUCCAGCUUGGCAUUGGCUUGCUCUCUGAUUAGAUGUAGCCACUAAAACUUUCAUUUCAUAUGAGUUGUUUUCUAGUGGCUUCCAGAGCACAUUUCCAUUAAAAAGCUUUUUUAGGGGUUGGUUCUCUUUGUAUAGUUUGUCUUUGUUUUGUUUUGUUUUCCUGAACAUGAGGAGGAAAACAUACUGUGGAAUUUAAUAAAUACUGAAAGUCAAGCUGGGUUAUUUUCGGUUGAUGCAUCUACAGUGAUAUUUUGUACAGAGAAUUUAAUUAACAUUUCUUUUGAUGGUAAAUAAACUAGAAUAAAAUCCUUCUCGACUUCCAA